GACGAACGCUGGCGGCGUGCUUAACACAUGCCAGUCGAACGGAAAGGCCCUGCUUUUGUGGGGUUCUCGAGUGGCGAACGGGUGUGUAACACGUGUGUAACCUGCCCUUGACUUUGGGAUAACUUCUGGAAACUGGGGCUAAUACCGGAUAGGAGCUCCUGCUGCAUGUUGGGGGUUGGACAGUUUCGGCGGUUGGGGAUCGACUCGCGGGUUAUCAGCUUGUUGGUGGGGUAGUGGCUUACCAAGGCUUUGACGGGUAGCAGGCCUGAGAGGGUGACCGGGCACAAUGGGACUGAGAGAGGGCCCAGAAGGCAACGGGAGGCAGCAGUGGGGAAUAUUGCAGAAUGGGCGGAAGCGUGAUGCAGAAACGCGGCGAGCGGGAUGACGGCCUUCGGGGUGUAAACCGCUUUGGACUGAGACGAAGCGGGAGUGACGGUAAUGGGUAAAGAAGCACCGGCUAACUACGUG
rnacentral:rRNA from 1 species